CUUCCUCUCCCUCUUUUACGAGAACGCUUGUGAUGGCACUUAAGGGCCACGCAAUAACCCAGUAUACUUUCUCCAUCUCAAGAUCCUCUUCUUAAGUCCCACCUGUGAUGAUCCGUCUUCCAAAUAAGCGAAUGCAACCUUUCAAGUUUGCCUGUCCCUAAACAGUGAAAACUAACCAUGGAAAACCCAGCGCUCAGAGCAUGAGGCAGAUCUCAGUCUUCUCUGCCUCAGGUACAUAAAGCAGAGUCAGUUUCAGACUCUGUGUUGCAAAAGAGAGCAUGCCACAAGAAAUGAUGGUUCCUGGGAUAGCGUGUCACAGACACAGACCUACCUGCUCUAAGAGACAUCUACAUUUGGC